rnacentral:rRNA from 1 species
GGAGGAGCUUGCGUCACAUUAGUUAGUUGGUGGGGUAAAGGCCUACCAAGACUAUGAUGUGUAGCCGGGCUGAGAGGUUGAACGGCCACAUUGGGACUGAGACACGGCCCAAACUCCUACGGGAGGCAGCAGUAGGGAAUUUUCGGCAAUGGAGGAAACUCUGACCGAGCAACGCCGCGUGAACGAUGAAGUAUUUCGGUACGUAAAGUUCUUUUAUUAGGGAAGAAUAAAUGAUGGAAAAAUCAUUCUGACGGUACCUAAUGAAUAAGCCCCGGCUAACUAUGUGCCAGCAGCCGCGGUAAUACAUAGGGGGCAAGCGUUAUCCGGAAUUAUUGGGCGUAAAGGGUGCGUAGGCUGUUAAAUAAGUCUAUGGUCUAAGUGCAAUGCUCAACAUUGUGAUGCUAUAAAAACUGUUUAGCUAGAGUAAGAUAGAGGCAAGUGGAAUUCCAUGUGUAGUGGUAAAAUGCGUAAAUAUAUGGAGGAACACCAGUAGCGAAGGCGGCUUGCUGGGUCUUUACUGACGCUGAGGCACGAAAGCGUGGGGAGCAAACAGGAUUAGAUACCCUGGUAGUCCACGCCGUAAACGAUGAGUACUAAACGUUGGGUAAAACCAGUGUUGAAGUUAACACAUUAAGUACUCCGCCUGAGUAGUACGUACGCAAGUAUGAAACUUAAAGGAAUUGACGGGACUCCGCACAGGCGGUGGAUCAUGUUGUUUAAUUCGAAGGUACCCGAAAAACCUCACCAGGUCUUGACAUGCUUCUGCAAAGCUGUAGAAACACAGUGGAGGUUAUCAGUUGCACAGGUGGUGCAUGGUUGUCGUCAGCUCGUGUCGUGAGAUGUUGGGUUAAGUCCCGCAACGAGCGCAACCCUUAUUGUUAGUUGCCAGCACGUAAUGGUGGGGACUUUAGCAAGACUGCCAGUGAUAAAUUGGAGGAAGGUGGGGACGACGUCAAAUCAUCAUGCCCCUUAUGACCUGGGCUACAAACGUGAUACAAUGGCUG